CCUACGGGCGACAGCAGUGGGGAAUAUUGCACAAUGGGGGAAACCCUGAUGCAGCGACGCCGCGUGAGUGAAGAAGUAUUUCGGUAUGUAAAGCUCUAUCAGCAGGGAAGAAAAUGACGGUACCUGAUUAAGAAGCCCCGGCUAACUACGUGCCAGCAGCCGCGGUAAUACGUAGGGGGCAAGCGUUAUCCGGAUUUACUGGGUGUAAAGGGAGCGUAGACGGCAGCACAAGUCUGGAGGGAAAUGCCGGGGCUUAACCCCGGAACUGCUUUGGAAACUGUGCAUCUAGAGUGCAGGAGAGGUAUGCGGAAUGCGUGGUGUAGCGGUGAAAUGCGUAGAUAUUACGAAGAACACCAGUUGCGAAGGCGGCUUACUGGACUCUAACUGACGCUGAGGCUCGAAAGCGUGGGGAGCAAACAGGAUUAGAUACCCCAGUAGUC
rnacentral:rRNA from 1 species